rnacentral:rRNA from 1 species
GGGUAGCCGUAAGCGGUCAAUCCUUAUUGGAUUGGAAUUGGCCGUGAAGGAUAUCCAGGAAAUAGCAUCCACAUAAUGACCGUACCCGAAACCGACACAGGUGGGAUAGUAGAGUAUACUAAGACGCUUGAGAGAACUGUUCUGAAGGAACUCGGCAAAUUGCAUCCGUAACUUCGGAAGAAGGAUGACCCAUCCGUACGCAAGUAUGGUUGGGUGGCACAAACUAGGUGGUGGCGACUGUUUAUCAAAAACACAGGGCUCUGCGAAGUCACAAGACGACGUAUAGGGUCUGACGCCUGCCCGGUGCUGGAAGGUUAAAAGGAGGAGUGCAAGCUCUGAAUUGAAGCCCCAGUAAACGGCGGCCGUAACCAUAACGGUCCUAAGGUAGCGAAAUUCCUUGUCGGGUAAGUUCCGACCUGCACGAUGGCGUAACGACUUCCACACUGUCUCCAGAGCAGACUCAGUGAAAUUGAAUUCCCCGUGAAGAUGCGGGGUACUCGCGGUUAGACGGAAAGACCCUAUGAACCUUUACUAUAACUUCGCAGUGCAAUACGAUUUUCAUGUGUAGCUUAGGUGGGAGACUUUGAAGCAGGGGCGCAAGCCUUUGUGGAGUCAUCAGUGAAAUACCACCCUUGGACCUUGUGUUGUCUAACCGUGGCCCGUAUAUCCGGGCUCGGGACCCUGCGUGGUGGGUAGUUUGACUGGGGCGGUCGCCUCCCAAAUUGUAACGGAGGCGCGCGAUGGUGAGCUCAGGACGGUCGGAAAUCGUCUUUCGAGAGCAUUGGCAUAAGCUCGCCUGACUGUGACGCCGACAAGCGGAGCAGAAACGAAAGUUGGUCAAAGUGAUCCGGUGGUUUCCGUAUGGAAGGGCCAUCGCUCAACGGAUAAAAGGUACUCUAGGGAUAACAGGCUGAUAGCGCCCAAGCGCCCACAGCGACGGCGCUGUUUGGCACCUCGAUGUCGGCUCAUCUCAUCCUGGGGCUGGAGAAGGUCCCAAGGGUAUGGCUGUUCGCCAUUUAAAGAGGUACGUGAGCUGGGUUCAGAACGUCGUGAGACAGUUCGGUCCCUAUCUUCCGUGAGAGUUGGAGUUUUGAGAGGAUCUGUCCUUAGUACGAGAGGACCGGGAUGGACGCACCUCUGGUGUACCUGUUGUCGCGCCAGCGGCAUAGCAGGGUAGCUAUGUGCGGAAUGGAUAAACGCUGAAAGCAUCUAAGCGUGAAGCCAGCCUCAAUACCAGAACUCCCUAUUAGAGCCGUGGAAGACCACCACGUUGAUAGGCUGGAUGUGGAAGAGCCGUAAGGCUUGAAGCUAACCAGUACUAAUUGCUCUAA